AGUGAACGCUGGCGGUAGGCCUAACACAUGCAAGUCGAACGGCAGCACAGUAAGAGCUUGCUCUUACGGGUGGCGAGUGGCGGACGGGUGAGGAAUACAUCGGAAUCUACUUUUUCGUGGGGGAUAACGUAGGGAAACUUACGCUAAUACCGCAUACGACCUACGGGUGAAAGCAGGGGAUCUUCGGACCUUGCGCGAUUGAAUGAGCCGAUGUCGGAUUAGCUAGUUGGCGGGGUAAAGGCCCACCAAGGCGACGAUCCGAAGCUGGUCUGAGCGGAUGAUCAGCCACACUGGAUCUGAGACACGGUCGAGACUCCUACGGGAGGCAGCAGUGGGGAAUAUUGGACGAUGGACGCAAGCCUGAUCUAGCCAUACCGCGUGGGUGAAGAAGGCCUUCGGGUUGUAAAGCCCUUUUGUUGGGAAAGAAAAGCAGCAGGUUAAUACCCCGCUGUUUUGACGGUACCCAAAGAAUAAGCACCGGCUAACUUCGUG
rnacentral:rRNA from 1 species